AUGCUUGUGGAGAUCGACGCGACGGCGGAGGAAUUUGACGACGACACCGAGGACGAUGAGGCCGACACGUCCACGGCGCCACCAAUAGCGAGGAAGAGUAGAACAUGGGAGGCCGCCGGCGGUUGGGUCCCAGGAAGGCCACCGCCAUCUUGCCGGGCCACACAACCAGUGAGCUUGCCCGCUUUGUGGAGGAGGAGGAGGCCACUAUUCUUCCCCUCGUUGAAGCUAAAGCUAAACUUGGUGGGCUCAUUACCGGCCGGUGAGCUUGCCCGCUUCGCGGAGGCUAUUCUUCCCUUCCCGUUGAAGCUUCAUUUCCUGGGGCUCACGACCGUCCGGUGA
rnacentral:rRNA from 1 species